GGGUGCUCGAGUGGCGAACGGGUGAGUAACACGUGAGUAACCUGCCCUCGACUUUGGGAUAACUUCAGGAAACUGGGGCUAAUACCGGAUAGGAGCUCCUGCUGCAUGGUGGGGGUUGGAAAGUUUCGGCGGUUGGGGAUGGACUCGCGGCUUAUCAGCUUGUUGGUGGGGUAGUGGCUUACCAAGGCUUUGACGGGUAGCCGGCCUGAGGGGGUGACCGGCCACAUUGGGACUGAGAUACGGCCCAG
rnacentral:rRNA from 1 species